ACGAAAGUCUGAUGCAGCAACGCCGCGUGGGGGAUGAAGCUUCUCGGAGUGUAAACCCCUUUCGACCUGGAAGAAUGCCCGCAAGGGUUUGACGGUACAGGUAUAAGAAGCCCCGGCUAACUACGUGCCAGCAGCCGCGGUAAUACGUAGGGGGCCAGCGUUGCUCGGAAUUACUGGGCGUAAAGGGUCCGUAGGCGGUGUGGUAAGUCGGGAGUGAAAUCUCUGGGCUUAACCCAGAGGCUGCUUCCGAAACUGCCGUGCUAGAGUGUGAGAGAGGCGAGUGGAAUUACGGGUGUAGCGGUGAAAUGCGUAGAUAUCCGUAGGAACAUCCGAGGCGAAGGCGGCUCGCUGGAUCACAACUGACGCUGAGGGACGAAAGCUAGGGGAGCAAACAGGAUUAGAUACCCUGGUAGUCCUAGCCCUAAACCAUCAGGACUUGGGGUUUGCCCUGUACGGGGCAAGUCCCGUAGCUAACGCGUUAAGUCCUGCGCCUGGGGAGUA
rnacentral:rRNA from 1 species